rnacentral:rRNA from 1 species
GAUAAACGCUGGCGGCAUGCCUAAUACAUGCAAGUCGAACGGAAGUAGCAAUACUUCAGUGGCGAACGGGUGAGUAACACGUAAGUAACCGACCUUAAAGACGAGGAUACCCCCUGGAAACGGGGGCUAAAACUGGAUAGGACGAGAGAUCAAAAGAACUUUCGUUUAAAGGUGCAACUGCACUGCUUUAAGCCGGGCUUGCGGCGCAUUAGCUAGUUGGUGAGAUAACAGCCCACCAAGGCAACGAUGCGUAGCAGCGCUGAGAGGCGGAACUGCCACACUGGGACUGAGACACGGCCCAGACUCCUACGGGAGGCAG